GCAGUGGCGCAAUUGGUAGCGCAUCGGUCUCCAAAACCGACGGUUGUGGGUUCGAGUCCCGCCUGCC
rnacentral:tRNA from 1 species